rnacentral:pre_miRNA from 1 species
CCCUUAACUAUUAAAAGUUUCGUUUUAGUCCCUUAACUUAUUUUUUGGUUUCGUUUGGUCCCUUAACUCUUCCUCCGUCAACCACUUUGGCCCUUUAUGUUAGGAUGAAUGUAUUAUAGUUAAGGACCAAAACAAAAUCAAAAAAUAAGUUAAGGGACCAAAACGAAACCAAAAAAUAAGUUAAGGGACCAAAACGAAACUUUUAAUAGUUAAGGGA